rnacentral:lncRNA from 1 species
AUUCAGACUCAAGAAUUUUUUUCUAGAGGGUAUUGGGGUAGGCAAAGAAAAGCAGGAGAGUUUGUAACAAACAGUAUGUGGGAUUUUUUUAGAUGUGUUCAAUUUGAAAGUAACUUGUGAAACAACUGGUGAUAUUUUGGUAUAAGACGUUUUGAAAGUUAUUUGUUUAUUUCUAAGGAUAACAAAGCUGAUGUAAUUUUAAAGUACAAUGCAGAUGAAGCUAGAAGCCUGAAGGCAUAUGGCGAGCUUCCAGAACAUGCUAAAAUCAAUGAAACAGACACAUUUGGUCCUGGAGAUGAUGAUGAAAUCCAGUUUGACGAUAUUGGAGAUGAUGAUGAAGACAUUGAUGAUAUCUAAAUUGAACCAAGUGUUUUUACAUGACAAGUUCUCUGAGGAUGGUUCUACAGUUGGGAUUUUGGCCAUCAUCAACCAAGAAGAGAAAUUCAUUUAGUGUGUAGUUUCUGAAAGCAAACUGAUUUAUUUUCAUUGUUUUAAAGUAUUUAUUUCUUUAAAAGCUGAGGACACUGAAUUACCUUAAGUUAAAUGUUAAUACUUUAUUGUUUUGAUGUAAUGGAACUUAAGGAUAAAAGACCAUAAUAUUUGCUGUUAAAAUAAAUAAACGAGUGCCUUUCCUACUGUGA